GGGACUACAAUAGCAUGGAUCACUUUCAGCACAUUUGAAAGACACAGCACACACUUCUCAGACCUGUGCCUUUAAACGAGAUAAUAACACCAUAAAACCUUUGUGUACUUCCUGAAGAAAUACGAGAUCACUUGAUAGCGACGCACACGCCUGAAAAGCUUUGGAAUCACUAUUUUAAAAAAAGGGUGACCCCCAAAAAGACCCAAAGUGUGACCAAGAAGCUUUUGUUUCUGCCAACUCCCUUUUGGACACAUGGCGAUGCAGCACAGUUUGACACAAGUCCAGCUAUGACCACUGUAAUAAACAUCCUGAAAUAUUUAUUUCCAGGUUUGGUGUUUUCCUUUGUCGCUGUGCUGCUCUGCUUCUGUUUGUAUGCAAAAAGGAAAAGUGACUCAUAUGACUUCACCGUGGCAACACGACGUCACAACAGCGCCUACAUGCCAGCGGCCUAUCUGCCUUUGAGUCGUGCACAAAUGGAAGACGGAUCUCCUCUAAGCUGCAGAUCCUGGAUGAA